CAAAUCACAGGCAAAAUUCCAGAACAUUUAUUUUCUUGGUGAGCCGACGAUAGUCUAGCUUGAUGGGGAAUCACAAAACACAAUUGAAACACAAUUGUGUAGCUCAGAACCUUAAUCCAAUGGCGUCAGUUUGAUGCAUUGCUUGCAAUGCCAGAGACAUCGUCUCUGGCAUUGCAAGACAGCCUGAUCACGAACGUCACUUCACGGUGAACACAAAGUGAAUUGUAUACCACGUUAUUACGGCUGCCACCGUGUGUGUAGAAUUCGGAAGAGUUCAUCCGUCGUGACAACUUUGAUGAACUCGGUGUUAUUAUGAAUACCACGAUACUGUCACGUCACGGAGAAAAACAAGUAUAUUUGUCACUUGUGUUUUAGAUGGUGAAAGCUAGUCACGCGAAAUGGAGAAAGAAAAGAUAAACAAACAGCAAUUUACCCGCCAGGUCGCAUUUUUAGAACGAAAUCCUGACGUAUCCAGAAGAUGUAAAUUUGUUUAUUAGGAUUCGGAUUACACUAACAGAGAGUUGCAACACUAUGAAAUGGGAAUGGAACUGGCCCAAAUACGCUGUAAUAGUGUGAGAGAAACAAUAAUUAAUAAUCUCUCAUUAGAAAGAACGAUCAUCAUGAUUGAUUAUGUAUAAUAUUGAUUUGUUGAUAUUUUGAGUAUAAAACAAUAACUGUAAAGUUUUUCCAACAUUGCAGUGCUGGUUUUAUGUAAUUCAAACAUUCGCAAUUGGUAGACAAGACCCGAAUCAGGACAAUAGUUAUAACGAAUAAGGCCAUUGUUUUUUUAACGUAAUAGAUAUUCUCAUAACGUUUUGAAGACAUACUUUGAAUGAAAGAAUAUUAAAAAAGUGAUAAUAAGUUUCAAACAUGGAAAAAUGAGUCUAUCAUUGCUAAGCAUUCACAAGAUACUGUUUUUAAAUUCUUCUCCAGUUCUUCCAUAAUUUUGAUAUCCAUCUGAAGUAAAUCUGAAUCAUAUUCUGCUUUUGGCAAAUUCUUUGAAACUCAUCAGAUGUUGUAUAUGAAGAUUAUGCUUCUGACCGACGCUGCUGAACAGUUUCUGUUUAAAUAAUUAAAUCAACCCUCAUGUCCCUUAUAUCAAAUUACACGAGAAUGGGAAGGAUAAGAGGAUUAAACUUCAGAAUCCUAUAUGGGGGUAGCUGAGAUUAUACUGAUCGUGAGGUGGAUAAAUUUAUUAUUAAACAUAAUAGUCAUUUCUAUCAAUUUAUAGAAAAAGAAAAUAAAAUUACAAUCUCAUAUGUUCAACAA